rnacentral:rRNA from 1 species
UACAUGCAAGUUGAACGGGACUGUGGUAAUUAUGAUUGAAGAGCUUGCUCGGAGAGAUUAAUUACAAUGCAGUCAGUGGCGAACGGGUGAGUAACACGUGGGAAACCUACCUCUUAGCAGGGGAUAACAUUUGGAAACAGAUGCUAAUACCGUAUAACAAUUAGAACCGCAUGGUUCAAGUUUAAAAGAUGGUUCUGCUAUCACUAAGAGAUGGUCCCGCGGCGUAUUAGCUAGAUGGUGAGGUAAUGGCUCACCAUGGCAAUGAUACGUAGCCGAGUUGAGAGACUGAUCGGCCACAUUGGGACUGAGACACGGCCCAAACUCCUACGGGAGGCAGCAGUAGGGAAUCUUCCACAAUGGACGAAAGUCUGAUGGAGCAACGCCGCGUGUGUGAUGAAGGCUUUCGGGUCGUAAAACACUGUUAUAAGAGAAGAACGUCAGUGAGAGUAACUGUUCAUUGAGUGACGGUAUCUUAUCAGAAAGGGACGGCUAAAUACGUG